rnacentral:lncRNA from 1 species
UUCAGUUUCUUGUAACAGUUAUAGGUGCAAGUACAGCCGUUUGCAUAGUACUUCAUUUGUAUGUGAAAACAUUAAAGAUCCGAAAAACCUGCUUCCAUCCGAAACACAAUUUGCUGCUGCUGCUGCUGCAGCAUGAUUAUUGGUGCAUGCCAUAGGGAGACUUCUGCGUGCUGAUGCAAAAAUUCCUCAGUCUGGUCAAUUAUAGCUGAUACACAAGGGCAUCAGCUUAGACCAGGAUCUUCCAUGAAAAAGCCCGGGGGUUCCUAAGCAAUUGAUGUUAAGCUGCCCUUGUAAAGCUGGGGGAGUCCUCUGCUGAGAUCAAAGAGGCAGCGAUACAGAAGGUCAAGGCGUAGGCCCUGGGAGUCCUUUAUUCUCUCUCUCCCUCCCUUCCCUUUCACUCACUUGGAAGCCUUGUCUGUCUCUCAUGACUUUGAAGUUCUGACACAACUUAGGCUUUUCUGAUCAUAGGCGGCUGGUUGCUAUAACCCUGCCUUUCUUUGCUUUGACAGAUAAUGUGAACAAGGAAGAAGGCAGCUCAGCAGGGCUCCAUGGAGGGGGCAAAACGUCCUUCCCGGAAAUAUUGGGCUGCAUCCAGGCACUAUCGGGAAACACGGUAGUUCACUGCACGGAGGGCAAGUAUAGAAAAACUCCACCCCACCAGCAGCCCUUUUCUGGCUCACUGGCUGAGCAUGUAAGUGUAUA